GAUGAACGCUGGCGGCGUGCCUAAUACAUGCAAGUCGAGCGAACAGACGAGGAGCUUGCUCCUCUGACGUUAGCGGCGGACGGGUGAGUAACACGUGGAUAACCUACCUAUAAGACUGGGAUAACUUCGGGAAACCGGAGCUAAUACCGGAUAAUAUAUUGAACCGCAUGGUUCAAUAGUGAAAGACGGUUUUGCUGUCACUUAUAGAUGGAUCCGCGCCGCAUUAGCUAGUUGGUAAGGUAACGGCUUACCAAGGCAACGAUGCGUAGCCGACCUGAGCGCGUGAUCGGCCACACUGGAACUGAGACACGGUCCAGACUCCUACGGGAAGCAGCAGUAGGGAAUCUUCCGCAAAGGGCGAAAGCCUGACGGAGCAACGCCGCGUGAGUGAUGAAGGUCUUCGGAUCGUAGAACUCUGUUAUUAGGGGAGAACAAAUGUGUAAGUAACUAUGAACGUCUUGACGGUACCUAAUCAGAAAGCCACGGCUAACUACGUG
rnacentral:rRNA from 1 species